rnacentral:lncRNA from 1 species
CUCCCAGGCUUUGCACACAACUUCUGCAGCAUCUGCAUUCCAGGAAUGAAUGGAGCCAGGGGCCAUCUAGGUAUAAGGCCUUCCACCUGCCAUGCAAAUGCUCUACCACUGAGCUACAUCUCCAGCCUCCCUCCUCUUUUUGUAUUUUAUUUCUGAGAUAGGGUUUUGGUAAGUUGCCUAGGCUAGUUUCAAACUUAAAAAUCCCCUGCCCUCACCUUCCUGAGUAGCUAGAAUUAUAGCUCUGUGCCACCAUGGUAGGGUCAGAUUGUUUCCUUGCAUUAAAAGAAAUGUCAGUCCCCAGUGGAGGGGUAACAACCUCAGGGCAGCAAGAGGCAGCCAGGGAGCACCAGGGAGGGCAGGAGCUGAGCCCAAACACAGGGAGCCACUCAGAUCUGAGGCUUAUUUAGUCCUGCCACCAACCGUGGUCUUCCAUUUUCUUCCCUUGAGGGCCUGAGCUAUAGGAAAGCAAUAGGCCCCUCCCAUAAACCCAGAGAAACCCAAGGGGAUUCCCCACCUCAGCCCAGAAGUAGGUGCCCAGUGAUCCCAUCACACAGACUACUCCCAUCCCCUUGGGGAAUCCAUGUGGGAAAAGCUCCUUCCUCCCUGGGGAAACCAUGGGGGGGGGGGGGGAUGGGCAUCAAGCAUUCAACCAGCCUCAAUGAGGGUUAUGGCUGCUGGAACUGGGGGAAGUCGGGCAAACAGAGGUCUCUAGAAAUGGCAGCCAAUGGGUCAGGCUUGCUCCCGAAUCCUCAGUCCCAAGGUGCUGCCAGGGGACUGUCUGUGCUCUCCAGGAGUGGAAUGUUCUGAGGGCAAAUCAGUUCACAGGUGUGGUAGGAAAAGCACCAGCCCUGGGUUUGAGAACCAACCCUAAUGUAUCCCACUUCCCCCUGGGCAAGUGACCGCCUCUGAAGGCAAGUGCUAGGAGGGAGUCUGUUUCGUUUGUUACAUCUGUAACACUUAGCACAUAGUAGUUGCUCAAUAAAUAUUAUACCAGGUCAGGGCAAUGACCUAAGCUUUGGUUUGUUCAUUUUCAAAAUAGGGAUGAUAAUAGCUAUCUCACAGG